GACGAACGCUGGCGGCGUGCUUAACACAUGCAAGUCGAACGGUAAGGCCCUUCGGGGUACACGAGUGGCGAACGGGUGAGUAACACGUGGGUGAUCUGCCCUGCACUUCGGGAUAAGCCUGGGAAACUGGGUCUAAUACCGGAUAGGACCCUGGGAUGCAUGUCCUGGGGUGGAAAGCUUUUGUGGUGUGGGAUGGGCCCGCGGCCUAUCAGCUUGUUGGUGGGGUGAUGGCCUACCAAGGCGACGACGGGUAGCCGGCCUGAGUGGGUGACCGGCCACACUGGGACUGAGAUACGGCCCAGAAUCCUACGGGAGGCAGCAGUGGGGAAUAUUGCACAAUGGGCGCAAGCCUGAUGCAGCGACGCCGCGUGAGGGAUGACGGCCUUCGGGUUGUAAACCUCUUUCAGCACCGACGAAGCGCAAGUGACGGUAGGUGCAGAAGAAGGACCGGCCAACUACGUGCCAGCCGCCGCCGCGG
rnacentral:rRNA from 1 species